rnacentral:rRNA from 1 species
GGCCGCACGCGCGCGACACUGACAGGGUCAGCGAGUUCUCCCUUAUCCGAAAGGAUCGGGUAAUCUUGUUAAACCCUGUCGUGCUGGGGAUUAAGCAUUGCAAUUAUUGCUCUUCAACGAGGAAUCCCUAUAUAAGCGCAAGUCAUCAGCUUGCGUUGAUUACGUCCCUGCCCUUUGUACACACCGCCCGUCGCUACUACCGAUUGAAUGGCUCAGUGAGGCUUUCGGACUGGCCCAGAGAGGUCGGCAACGACCACCCAGGGCCGGAAAGUUAUCCAAACUCGGUCAUUUAGAGGAAGUAAAAGUCGUAACAAGGUCUCCGUUGGUGAACCAGCGGAGGGAUCAUUACCGAGUUUACAACUCCCAACCCUACUGUGGAUUCCUAUAAAAGUUGCCUCGGCGGGCUCGCCUGUCAGUGGCCUUAAAAAAUAACUCUGUAUAAACGUACCUCUGAGUGGCGCAGGACUAAAUAAGUCAAAACUUUCAGCAACGGAUCUCUUGGUUCUGGCAUCGAUGAAGAACGCAGCGAAAUGCGAUAAGUAAUGUGAAUUGCAGAAUUCAGUGAAUCAUCGAAUCUUUGAACGCACAUUGCGCCCGCUGGUAUUCCGACGGGCAUGCCUGUUCGAGCGUCAUUUAGCACCCCUCGGGCCUUUUAUAAUCCCUAAAGCAGGGACGGUCCGGUGUUGGAGCUCCGCCCGGCUACACUGCCGGACGGGCACCCAAAUGCAGCGGCGGACACCACGACCCCCCAAGCGUAGUAACUUCAGCCUCGCUUGUGGCAGGGCGGCGGUGGACCCACGCCUAAAAAGCUUGUUUGCAUUGGCAAACGAAAACCAAAAGCUUGACCUCGGAUCAGGUAGGACUACCCGCUGAACUUAAGCAUAUCAAUAAGCGGAGGAAAAGAAACCAACAGGGAUUGCCUCAGUAACGGCGAGUGAAGCGGCAACAGCUCAAAUUUGAAAUCUGGUUUCGGCCUGAGUUGUAAUUUGUAGAGGAUGCUUCUGGCAACGUGCCUUCCGAGUCCCCUGGAACGGGGCGCCAGAGAGGGUGAGAGCCCCGUACGGUUGGACGCCGAGCCUCUGUGAAGCUCCUUCGACGAGUCGAGUAGUUUGGGAAUGCUGCUCUAAAUGGGAGGUAUAUUCCUUCUAAAGCUAAAUACCGGCCAGAGACCGAUAGCGCACAAGUAGAGUGAUCGAAAGAUGAAAAGCACUUUGGAAAGAGGGUCAAACAGUACGUGAAAUUGCUGAAAGGGAAGCGCUCGCGACCAGACUCGCGCCGGGCGGAUCAUCCAGCGUUCUCGCUGGUGCACUUCGUUCGGCUCGGGCCAGCAUCGGUUUGGCUGGGGGGACAAAAGCCCGGGAAACGUAGCUCCCUCCGGGGAGUGUUAUAGUCCCUCGCCUAAUGUCCCCAGCCAGACCGAGGACAGCGCUCUGCAAGGAUGCUGGCGUAAUGGUCGCCAGCGACCCGUCUUGAAACACGGACCAAGGAGUCGAACAUUUGUGCGAGUGUUUGGGUGCAAAACCCUCACGCGUAAUGAAAGUGAACGGAGGUGGGAGCCUCGGCGCACCAUCGACCGAUCCUGAUGUUUUCGGAUGGAUUUGAGUAAGAGCAUAACUGUUCGGACCCGAAAGAUGGUGAACUAUGCCUGUAUAGGGUGAAGCCAGAGGAAACUCUGGUGGAGGCUCGCAGCGGUUCUGACGUGCAAAUCGAUCGUCAAAUAUGGGCAUGGGGGCGAAAGACUAAUCGAACC